UGCGAGGUCGGUCGACCGGUCCGGCUGCUGGGCUCAUAACCCAGAGGUUGCAGGUUCAAAUCCUGCCCCCGCUA
rnacentral:tRNA from 1 species